CGACUCUCGGCAACGGAUAUCUCGGCUCACGCAUCGAUGAAGAACGUAGCAAAAUGCGAUACUUGGUGUGAAUUGCAGAAUCCCGUGAACCAUCGAGUUUUUGAACGCAAGUUGCGCCCGAAGCCACCCGGUUGAGGGCACGUCUGCCUGGGCGUCACG
rnacentral:rRNA from 14 species